AGCGUACACGGUGGAUGCCCUGGCAGUCAGAGGCGAUGAAGGACGUGCUAAUCUGCGAUAAGCGCCGGUAAGGUGAUAUGAACCGUUAUAACCGGCGAUUUCCGAAUGGGGAAACCCAGUGUGACUCGUCACACUAUCAUUAACUGAAUCCAUAGGUUAAUGAGGCGAACCGGGGGAACUGAAACAUCUAAGUACCCCGAGGAAAAGAAAUCAACCGAGAUUCCCCCAGUAGCGGCGAGCGAACGGGGAGGAGCCCAGAGCCUGAAUCAGCAUGUGUGUUAGUGGAAGCGUCUGGAAAGGCGCGCGAUACAGGGUGACAGCCCCGUACACAAAAGCGCAUAUGCUGUGAGCUCGAUGAGUAGGGCGGGACACGUGGUAUCCUGUCUGAAUAUGGGGGGACCAUCCUCCAAGGCUAAAUACUCCUGACUGACCGAUAGUGAACCAGUACCGUGAGGGAAAGGCGAAAAGAACCCCGGCGAGGGGAGUGAAAAAGAACCUGAAACCGUGUACGUACAAGCAGUGGGAGCACAGGUUUACCUGUGUGACUGCGUACCUUUUGUAUAAUGGGUCAGCGACUUAUAUUCUGUAGCAAGGUUAACCGUAUAGGGGAGCCGGAGGGAAACCGAGUCUUAAUUGGGCGUUAAGUUGCAGGGUAUAGACCCGAAACCCGGUGAUCUAGCCAUGGGCAGGUUGAAGGUUGGGUAACACUAACUGGAGGACCGAACCGACUAAUGUUGAAAAAUUAGCGGAUGACCUGUGGCUGGGGGUGAAAGGCCAAUCAAACCGGGAGAUAGCUGGUUCUCCCCGAAAGCUAUUUAGGUAGCGCCUCGUGAAUUCAUCUCCGGGGGUAGAGCACUGUUUCGGCUAGGGGGCCAUCCCGGCUUACCAACCCGAUGCAAACUGCGAAUACCGGAGAAUGUUAUCACGGGAGACACACGGCGGGUGCUAACGUCCGUCGUGAAGAGGGAAACAACCCAGACCGCCAGCUAAGGUCCCAAAGUCAUGGUUAAGUGGGAAACGAUGUGGGAAGGCCCAGACAGCCAGGAUGUUGGCUUAGAAGCAGCCAUCAUUUAAAGAAAGCGUAAUAGCUCACUGGUCGAGUCGGCCUGCGCGGAAGAUGUAACGGGGCUAAACCAUGCACCGAAGCUGCGGCAGCGACGCUGAUGCGUUGUUGGGUAGGGGAGCGUUCUGUAAGCCUGUGAAGGUGUGUCGUGAGGCAUGCUGGAGGUAUCAGAAGUGCGAAUGCUGACAUAAGUAACGAUAAAGCGGGUGAAAAGCCCGCUCGCCGGAAGACCAAGGGUUCCUGUCCAACGUUAAUCGGGGCAGGGUGAGUCGACCCCUAAGGCGAGGCCGAAAGGCGUAGUCGAUGGGAAACGGGUUAAUAUUCCCGUACUUGGUGUUACUGCGAAGGGGGGACGGAGAAGGCUAUGUUGGCCGGGCGACGGUUGUCCCGGUUUAAGCGUGUAGGUGUGUGUUCCAGGUAAAUCCGGUUCACUUUAACACUGAGGCGUGAUGACGAGGCACUACGGUGCUGAAGCAACAAAUGCCCUGCUUCCAGGAAAAGCCUCUAAGCAUCAGGUAACAUCAAAUCGUACCCCAAACCGACACAGGUGGUCAGGUAGAGAAUACCAAGGCGCUUGAGAGAACUCGGGUGAAGGAACUAGGCAAAAUGGUGCCGUAACUUCGGGAGAAGGCACGCUGACAUGUAGGUGAAGUGAUUUACUCAUGGAGCUGAAGUCAGUCGAAGAUACCAGCUGGCUGCAACUGUUUAUUAAAAACACAGCACUGUGCAAACACGAAAGUGGACGUAUACGGUGUGACGCCUGCCCGGUGCCGGAAGGUUAAUUGAUGGGGUCAGCGCAAGCGAAGCUCCUGAUCGAAGCCCCGGUAAACGGCGGCCGUAACUAUAACGGUCCUAAGGUAGCGAAAUUCCUUGUCGGGUAAGUUCCGACCUGCACGAAUGGCGUAAUGAUGGCCAGGCUGUCUCCACCCGAGACUCAGUGAAAUUGAACUCGCUGUGAAGAUGCAGUGUACCCGCGGCAAGACGGAAAGACCCCGUGAACCUUUACUAUAGCUUGACACUGAACAUUGAGCCUUGAUGUGUAGGAUAGGUGGGAGGCUUUGAAGUGUGGACGCCAGUCUGCAUGGAGCCGGCCUUGAAAUACCACCCUUUAAUGUUUGAUGUUCUAACGUGGACCCGUAAUCCGGGUUGCGGACAGUGUCUGGUGGGUAGUUUGACUGGGGCGGUCUCCUCCUAAAGAGUAACGGAGGAGCACGAAGGUUGGCUAAUCCUGGUCGGACAUCAGGAGGUUAGUGCAAUGGCAUAAGCCAGCUUGACUGCGAGCGUGACGGCGCGAGCAGGUGCGAAAGCAGGUCAUAGUGAUCCGGUGGUUCUGAAUGGAAGGGCCAUCGCUCAACGGAUAAAAGGUACUCCGGGGAUAACAGGCUGAUACCGCCCAAGAGUUCAUAUCGACGGCGGUGUUUGGCACCUCGAUGUCGGCUCAUCACAUCCUGGGGCUGAAGUAGGUCCCAAGGGUAUGGCUGUUCGCCAUUUAAAGUGGUACGCGAGCUGGGUUUAGAACGUCGUGAGACAGUUCGGUCCCUAUCUGCCGUGGGCGCUGGAGAACUGAGGGGGGCUGCUCCUAGUACGAGAGGACCGGAGUGGACGCAUCACUGGUGUUCGGGUUGUCAUGCCAAUGGCACUGCCCGGUAGCUAAAUGCGGAAGAGAUAAGUGCUGAAAGCAUCUAAGCACGAAACUUGCCCCGAGAUGAGUUCU
rnacentral:rRNA from 1 species